UGAAGCGAACGAGGGGAAGUGAAACAUCUCAGUACCCUUAGGAAAAGAAAUCAAUUGAGAUUCCCUUAGUAGCGGCGAGCGAACGGGGAUCAGCCCAUUAAGUUGUGUGUGUUCUAGUGGAACGCUCUGGGAAGUGCGAACGUAGAGGGUGAUAUUCCCGUACACGAAAGGGCACACACAAUGAUGACGAGUAGGGCGAGGCACGUGAAACCUUGUCUGAAUAUGGGGGGACCAUCCUCCAAGGCUAAAUACUCCUGACUGACCGAUAGUGAACCAGUACCGUGAGGGAAAGGCGAAAAGAACCCCUGUGAGGGGAGUGAAAUAGAUCCUGAAACCGCAUGCAUACAAGCAGUGGGAGCACCUUCGUGGUGUGACUGCGUACCUUUUGUAUAAUGGGUCAGCGACUUAUAUUCAGUAGC
rnacentral:rRNA from 1 species